AGAGUUUGAUCCUGGCUCAGAACGAACGCUGGCGGCGUGCUUAAUACAUGCAAGUCGUGCGAGAACGGGUCCUUCGGGACCUUAGUAAAGCGGCGAACGGGUGCGUAACACGUGGGCAACCUGCCUAUCAGUUUGGGAUAAGCUCUCGAAAGGGGGUCUAAUACCGAAUGAUACCCAGAGGAGACAUCUCUUUUGGUUCAAAGACGGUGCAAGCCGUCACUGAUAGAUGGGCCCGCGCCCCAUUAGCUAGUUGGUAGGGUAACGGCCUACCAAGGCUCCGAUGGGUAGCCGACCUGAGAGGGUGACCGGCCACACUGGGACUGAGAUACGGCCCAGACUCCUACGGGAGGCAGCAGUAGGGAAUAUUGCGCAAUGGAGGCAACUCUGACGCAGCAACGCCGCGUGGAUGAUGAAGCUCCUUGGAGUGUAAAGUCCUGUCGCCAGGGAAGAAACGGUGGAUGAGGAAAUGCAUCUGCUCUGACGGUACCUGGAGAGGAAGUUCCGGCUAACUCCGUGCCAGCAGCCGCGGUAACACGGGGGGAACGAGCGUUGUUCGGAUUUACUGGGCGUAAAGGGUGCGUAGGCGGGUUGGCAAGUCGGGUGUGAAAUUCCAUAGCUUAACUAUGGACCUGCAUUCGAAACUGCCGGUCUUGAGUACUGGAGAGGUGGGUGGAAUUCUCGGUGUAGCGGUGAAAUGCGUAGAUAUCUAGAGGAACGCCUGAGGCGAAAGCGGGGCACUGUGCCGAUUCUGACGCUGUGGCGCGAAAGCGUGGGGAGCAAACAGGAUUAGAUACCCUGGUAGUCCACGCCGUAAACGAUGC
rnacentral:rRNA from 1 species